UGGGGAAUUUUGGACAAUGGGCGAAAGCCUGAUCCAGCAAUGCCGCGUGUGUGAAGAAGGCCUUCGGGUUGUAAAGCACUUUUGUCCGGAAAGAAAUCCUUGGCUCUAAUACAGUCGGGGGAUGACGGUACCGGAAGAAUAAGCACCGGCUAACUACGUGCCAGCAGCCGCGGUAAUACGUAGGGUGCAAGCGUUAAUCGGAAUUACUGGGCGUAAAGCGUGCGCAGGCGGUUUGCUAAGACCGAUGUGAAAUCCCCGGGCUCAACCUGGGAACUGCAUUGGUGACUGGCAGGCUAGAGUAUGGCAGAGGGGGGUAGAAUUCCACGUGUAGCAGUGAAAUGCGUAGAGAUGUGGAGGAAUACCGAUGGCGAAGGCAGCCCCCUGGGCCAAUACUGACGCUCGUGCACGAAAGCGUGGGGAGCAAACAGGAUUAGAUACCCUGGUAGUCCACGCCCUAAAACGAUGUCAACUAGUUGUUGGGGAUUCAUUUCCUUAGUAACGUAGCUAACGCGUGAAGUUGACCGCCUGGGGAGUACGGUCGCAAGAUUAAAACUCAAAUGAAUUGACGGGGUCAUAGCUGUUUCCU
rnacentral:rRNA from 1 species